UACGAAGGGUGCAAGCGUUACUCGGAAUUACUGGGCGUAAAGCGUGCGUAGGUGGUUUGUUAAGUCUGAUGUGAAAGCCCUGGGCUCAACCUGGGGAAUUGCAUUGGAUACUGGCAGGCUAGAGUUCGGUAGGGGGAGACUGGAAGUUCCUGGUGUAGCGGUGAAAUGACGCAGAUAUCAGGAGGAACACCGAUGGGCGAAGGCAGGUCUCUGGGGCAUUAACUGACGCUGAGGAGCGAAAGCAUGGGGGAGCGAACAGG
rnacentral:rRNA from 1 species